rnacentral:tRNA from 1 species
GCCUUCGUGGUGUAGUGGUCAGCACGCUCGACGCGUAACCGAGAGGUCCGUGUGUUCGAUUCCCGGCGAAGGCG